GAGGAUCCGAGCGUUAUCCGGAUUUAUUGGGUUUAAAGGGAGCGUAGGCGGGAUGUUAAGUCAGUUGUGAAAGUUUGCGGCUAAACCGUAAAAUCGCAGUUGAUACUGGCUUCCUUGAGUGCGGCAGAGGCAGGCGGAAUUCGUGGUGUAGCGGUGAAAUGCAUAGAUAUCACGAAGAACCCCGAUUGCGAAGGCAGCCUGCUGGACCGUAACUGACGCUGAUGCUCGAAAGUGCGGGUAUCAAA
rnacentral:rRNA from 1 species